rnacentral:rRNA from 1 species
GACGAACGCUGGCGGCGUGCCUAAUACAUGCAAGUUGAGCGCUGAAGGUUGGUACUUGUACCGACUGGAUGAGCAGCGAACGGGUGAGUAACGCGUGGGGAAUCUGCCUUUGAGCGGGGGACAACAUUUGGAAACGAAUGCUAAUACCGCAUAAAAACUUUAAACACAAGUUUUAAGUUUGAAAGAUGCAAUUGCAUCACUCAAAGAUGAUCCCGCGUUGUAUUAGCUAGUUGGUGAGGUAAAGGCUCACCGAGGCGAUGAUACAUAGCCGACCUGAGAGGGUGAUCGGCCACAUUGGGACUGAGACACGGCCCAAACUCCUACGGGAGGCAGCAGUAGGGAAUCUUCGGCAAUGGACGAAAGUCUGACCGAGCAACGCCGCGUGAGUGAAGAAGGGUUUCGGAUCGUAAAACUCUGUUGGUAGAGAAGAACGUUGGUGAGAGUGGAAAGCUCAUCAAGUGACGGUAACUACCCAGAAAGGGACGGCUAACUACGUG